rnacentral:rRNA from 1 species
CAGCCGUAAACUAUGCGCGUUAGGUGUACUGGUGACCACGAGUCACCGGGUGCCGAAGGGAAACCGUGAAACGUGCCGCCUGGGAAGUACGGUCGCAAGGCUGAAACUUAAAGGAAUUGGGCGGGGGAGCACCGCAACGGGAGGAGCGUGCGGUUUAAUUGGAUUCAACACCGUAAACUCACCAGGGAAGACUGUUACAUGAAGGCCGAGAUGAAGACUCUGCUAGAUUUUCAGAGAGGAGGUGCAUGGCGUCAGUGACU